rnacentral:rRNA from 2 species
UGGGGAAUAUUGCACAAUGGGCGGAAGCCUGAUGCAGCGACGCCGCGUGAGGGAUGACGGCCUUCGGGUUGUAAACCUCUUUCAGCAGGGAAGAAGCGCAAGUGACGGUACCUGCAGAAGAAGCACCGGCUAACUACGUGCCAGCAGCCGCGGUAAUACGUAGGGUGCGAGCGUUGUCCGGAAUUAUUGGGCGUAAAGAGCUUGUAGGUGGUUUGUCGCGUCUGCUGUGAAAAUCCGAGGCUCAACCUCGGACUUGCAGUGGGUACGGGCAGACUAGAGUGUGGUAGGGGAGACUGGAAUUCCUGGUGUAGCGGUGGAAUGCGCAGAUAUCAGGAGGAACACCGAUGGCGAAGGCAGGUCUCUGGGCCAUUACUGACACUGAGAAGCGAAAGCAUGGGGAGCGAACA